AUGUGGUUUAAUUCGAUGCAACGCGAAAACCUUACCCACCUUUGACAUGUACGGAAUCCUUUAGAGAUAGAGGAGUGCUCGAAAGAGAGCCGUAACACAGGUGCUGCAUGGCUGUCGUCAGCUCGUGUCGUGAGAUGUUGGGUUAAGUCCCGCAACGAGCGCAACCCUUGUCAUUAGUUGCUACGAAAGGGCACUCUAAUGGGACUGCCGGUGACAAACCGGAGGAAGGUGGGGAUGACGUCAAGUCCUCAUGGCCCUUAUAGGUGGGGCUACACACGUCAUACAAUGGCCGGUACAGAGGGUAGCCAACCCGCGAGGGGGAGCCAAUCCCACAAAGCCGGUCGUAGUCCGGAUCGCAGUCUGCAACUCGACUGCGUGAAGUCGGAAUCGCUAGUAAUCGCGGAUCAGCAUGUCGCGGUGAAUACGUUCCCGGGUCUU
rnacentral:rRNA from 1 species